rnacentral:rRNA from 1 species
GACGAACGCUGGCGGCGUGCCUAAUACAUGCAAGUAGAACGCUGAAGAGAGGAGCUUGCUCUUCUUGGAUGAGUUGCGAACGGGUGAGUAACGCGUAGGUAACCUGCCUUGUAGCGGGGGAUAACUAUUGGAAACGAUAGCUAAUACCGCAUAACAAUGGAUGACACAUGUCAUUUAUUUGAAAGGGGCAAUUGCUCCACUACAAGAUGGACCUGCGUUGUAUUAGCUAGUAGGUGAGGUAACGGCUCACCUAGGCGACGAUACAUAGCCGACCUGAGAGGGUGAUCGGCCACACUGGGACUGAGACACGGCCCAGACUCCUACGGGAGGCAGCAGUAGGGAAUCUUCGGCAAUGGGGGCAACCCUGACCGAGCAACGCCGCGUGAGUGAAGAAGGUUUUCGGAUCGUAAAGCUCUGUUGUAAGUCAAGAACGAGUGUGAGAGUGGAAAGUUCACACUGUGACGGUAGCUUACCAGAAAGGGACGGCUAACUACGU